UGGGGGAGGCAGCAGUGGGGAAUUUUGGACAAUGGGGGCACCCCUGAUCCACCCAUGCCGCGUGCGGGAAGAAGGCCUUCGGGUUGUAAACCUCUUUCGGACGGAAAGAAAUCGCGUGGUCUAAUACUCUGUGUGGAUGACGGUACCGUAAGAAGAAGCACCGGCUAACUACGUCCCAGCAGCCGCGGUAAUACGUAGGGUGCGAGCGUUUAUCGGAAUUACUGGGCGUAAAGCGUGCGCAGGCGGUUUUUUAACCCAGAUGUGAAAUCCCCGGGCUUCACCUGGGAACUGCUUUUGAAACUGGGAGUCUAGAGUGUGUCAGAGGGAGGUGGAAUUCCGCGUGUAGCAGUGAAAUGCGUAGAUAUGNGGAGGAACACCGAUGGCGAAGGCAGCCUCCUGGGAUAACACUGACGCUCAUGCACGAAAGCGUGGGGCGCACACAGGAUUAGAUCCCCUGGUAGUCCACGCCCUAAACGAUGUCAACUGGCUGUUGGGAGAGAAAUCUUUCAGUAGCGAAGCUAACGCGUGAAGUUGCCCGCCUGG
rnacentral:rRNA from 1 species